rnacentral:tRNA from 1 species
CGGAGUAAGCGGGCCUUGAUCCCACAAAAACUAGUUAACAGCUAAUUACCCUAGCCA